AGCGAACGCUGGCGGUAGGCCUAACACAUGCAAGUCGAACGGCAGCACAGUAAGAGCUUGCUCUUACGGGUGGCGAGUGGCGGACGGGUGAGGAAUAUAUCGGAAUCUACUUUUUCGUGGGGGAUAACGUAGGGAAACUUACUCUAAUACCGCAUACGACCUACGGGUGAAAGCAGGGGAUCUUCGGACCUUGCGCGAUUGAAUGAGCCGAUGUCGGAUUAGUUAGUUGGCGGGGUAAAGGCCCACCAAGGCGACGAUCCGUAGCUGGUCUGAGAGGAUGAUCGGCCACACUGGAACUGGGACACGGACCAGACUCCUACGGGAGGCAGCAGUGGGGAAUAUUGGACAAUGGGCGCAAGCCUGAUCCAGCCAUACCGCGUGGGUGAAGAAGGCCUUCGGGUUGUAAAGCCCUUUUGUUGGGAAAGAACAGCAGCAGGUUAAUACCCCGCUGUUCUGACGGUACCCAAAGAAUAAGCACCGGCUAACUUCGUG
rnacentral:rRNA from 1 species